GAUUUCCUAGCUCAGCGGUAGAGCGUCGGAUUCCAGUAUCUGCGAUUCUUCGUUGAUAUGAAUCCCGAAGGUCAUCCGUUCGAUCCGGGUGGAGAUCA